AGCGAACGCUGGCGGCAGGCUAAACACAUGCAAGUCGAGCGCCCCGCAAGGGGAGCGGCAGACGGGAGAGUAACACGUGGGAACAUACCUUUUGGUUCGGAACAACUGAGGGAAACUUCAGCUAAUACCGGAUAAGCCCUUACGGGGAAAGAUUUAUCGCCGAAAGAUUGGCCCGCGUCUGAUUAGCUAGUUGGUGAGGUAACGGCUCACCAAGGCGACGAUCAGUAGCUGGUCUGAGAGGAGGAUCAGCCUCACUGGGACUGAGACACGGCCCAGACUCCUCCGGGGGGCGGCAGUGGGGAAUAUUGGAAAAUGGGGGCAACCCUGAUCCCGCCGUGCCGGGUGAGUGAUGAAGGCCUUAGGGUUUUAAAGCUCUUUUGCCCGGGAAGAUAAUGCCGGUACCGGGGGAAUAAGCCCCGGCUAACUUCGU
rnacentral:rRNA from 1 species